CAGUGGGGAAUAGUUGCUACAAUGGGCGCGAAAGCCUGAUGCAGCCAUGCCGCGUGUAUGAAGAAGGCCUUCGGGUUGUAAAGUACUUUCAGUAGGGAGGAAGGUAGUGUAGUUAACACCUGCAUUAUUUGACGUUACCUACAGAAGAAGCACCGGCUAACUCCGUGCCAGCAGCCGCGGUAAUACGGAGGGUGCGAGCGUUAAUCGGAAUUACUGGGCGUAAAGCGCAUGCAGGCGGCCUGUUAAGUCAGAUGUGAAAGCCCGGGGCUUAACCUCGGAAUUGCAUUUGAAACUGGCAGGCUAGAGUCUUGUAGAGGGGGUAGAAUUUCAGGUGUAGCGGUGAAAUGCGUAGAGAUCUGAAGGAAUACCAGUGGCGAAGGCGGCCCCCUGGACAAAGACUGACGCUCAGAUGCGAAAGCGUGGGGAGCAAACAGGAUUAGAUACCCUGGUAG
rnacentral:rRNA from 1 species